CUACCUAAUCUAGAUACAAAAUUAUUAGAGAGAUAGAGAGAGAGAGAAUGGAUGUUGAAGAUGGAGGGGGUUUCAUGUAUAAAGAUUUAUUGCCAUUUGCAGGAAUGGUGAUGGUGGAGUGCAUGCUUAUUGGUGCCGCCACACUUUACAAACACGCAACUAUUCAACGGAUUAACUAUUAUGUUUUCAGCUUUUAUGUUCUCCUCAUUGGCUUCGUCUUCCUCUUCCCAUGCCUCUUUCUCCUGCACACGGUAUUUUCUGCGGCAACUGGUGAUGAUAGGGGACUAGGUGAAUAGGGGGAGAUCGCUAGUUCGAUCCUUGACCUGAGCGGGUUUUACCUCACCGCACUGUCGUGCCUUCGGCGCCGAGUGUUUACAGGCUUCAGCCCUAGAAGAACAAGCAUCCCACCCAUCAAGAUCUCUAUUGCUGGGAAACUAUUCACGAUAAGUGUGCUAAUAUGGACAGGAAAAAAGAUAAAGGAAAGGCAAUACUUGUACAUCCUACACCGCCUAUAAAAUCAUCUCCAAUGAAUACAUCAUCUGAAGAAGAGAAAACAGAGAAACUCAUGAGCCAGUCAAUACAAGCAGCAAGAACACAGAAUUUUAGACAACUGCCUGCAACACUAACAGAUCUCAACAAUAUUACACAGUUUUACAACCCGAGUCAAUCAAAGGCUACAAAUGUUCGUCCUCCAAAAAAUAGGCAUUUUACACAAAGGGCAAGCUCUCAAUCACAGAAUACACAAAAUGCGGUUAUCACCUUUGGUAAUUAUGCAUUGCAAAGAUGUGAUGAUCCCAAUACAAAGUUUCGUCCAAUUAUUGGGAUGCAGUUAACAGAAAAACAACAGUGUUUACUAGAUAACCUGUGGCAUAU